rnacentral:lncRNA from 1 species
GUUCGAGUGUCAAUGAUAAGUCUUUUGUAAACGAAACGCGCGUCUGGCGCAAAAACCGGCAAAAUUUAUAUUCCGGUAUCCAUCUAUGAUGAGUUUUUGUAGAUACCUUGUAACAGUAUCUUGGCUCCAAUUUGCUGAUAUUGGAUCCUAUUACCGUCUUAAUUUCAGCGUAAAAAAGAUUAUAUUAAAAACCUCCCAUACUGUGGACUAGCACAACCUUAAACCAUGCAUUCAGUAUCAUGAAGCGCUUUUCUUGAUCGACCUCCUUACGGAACGCUUAAAGCUGAAUAUUUAGGGCAAACAACUUACAAAGAACAGAUAAAAACGUUUAAGAUGAUCUUUCAUUCUGUACAUGAAAUGAUAUAUUCUUUAGCCAACAUGAUUGCAGAAAGUAAGAAGUCGUAAAGCAAAACAGAAAAAAAAAUGAAAUCAAAAGAGAUAAUACAUCGUGUAUUGGGCCUUUUUAUGGCUUAGAGUUUAGUAGAAAAUGUAUAUACAUGCUCAACAUAACCAUACUAUUUGACCUACUGCGAGUUGUUCAGUUUUUACUGUUACUCCUGUUUCUCCUAAAAUAUGGGUGCUAGAAAAACCAGCAGGUAAAAUGGUCAAUAUCAGAGCCGUACGUCUGGUUUUUAAAUGAAUUAUCUUCUUUUAAGAAAUAUUAAUUUUGUCAUCCAAUUUUUCACCGCUUUCAACUGUCCGUUUUAUUUCAUACAUAAACUUUUAAGUAUCAGUAUGUUUUUAAUUCAUAUUGUUUCGUUUCGUUCCGCUUUUAUUUCGUUUCGCUUUUUCAGGUAUCCCUCUUAUUGCCC